UUGGAGGGCAAGUCUGGUGCCAGCAGCCGCGGUAAUUCCAGCUCCAAUAGCGUAUAUUAAAGUUGUUGCAGUUAAAAAGCUCGUAGUUGAAUUUCGGGGUUAGUAGGUUGGUCAUGCCUCUGGUAUGUACUGGUCUCACUGAUUCCUCCUUCCUUAUGAACCGUAAUGCCAUUAAUUUGGUGUUGCGGGGAAUUUGGACUGUUACUUUGAAAAAAUUAGAGUGUUUAAAGCAGGCUAACGCUUGAAUACAUUAGCAUGGAAUAAUGAAAUAGGACGUUCGAUCUUAUUUUGUUGGUUUCUAGGAUUGACGUAAUGAUUAAUAGGGAUAGUUGGGGGCAUUAGUAUUCAAUUGUCAGAGGUGAAAUUCUUGGAUUUAUUGAAGACUAACUACUGCGAAAGCAUUUGCCAAGGAUGUUUUCAUUAAUCAAGAACGAAAGUUAGGGGAUCGAAGACGAUCAGAUACCGUCGUAGUCUUAACCAUAAACUAUGCCGACUAGGGAUCGGAUGAUGUUAAUUUUUUAAUGACUCAUUCGGCGCCUUACGG
rnacentral:rRNA from 1 species